rnacentral:lncRNA from 1 species
CCAACAUUCAAAACAUGAACGGCGCCUGCAAUUGCUUUUGCUUCAUGUGAAAGGGACGUCUGCUCUACUCCAAUAUCGUCAGCUGCCUAAUUUAGUCAUCCAUGCAUAUCCGUCACUAUCUAAUUUGUCGCUAAAUGUGUUACUAUGCCAAGUGGCAUUACUUAGUUAGCCAGAUGUCAAUUGUUGAGUUAGAUCUCUUUAGCUGUAACCAGCUAUAUAAGCUGAGAUAUGUGCAGAUGCAAAGGGGAAUGAAUAUUUGAUUGUGUUAGUGUAUCUUGCAUUUGAGUAAAGGUAUCAAAAUAUGUCUGACCAACCACAGUUGCACCAACUAACCACAAAAUAUAAAAGCUCAUGACUAGAAAUUAAUCAAACAGUUAUAACAGAAAUUACAAAGAAUAUUUAGAGUAGCAAUUUUUUUGUUUUCAUAAUGCGAUAGUUUAAACCACUUUAAUUUUCUAUGAUGGCGGUUCACACUCGAAAAAAAACGGGCAUAUUGAUUUUUACCAACUAAUAACCUACACAUAUCCGAUUAAAGUAGCAACUUAAAAAUUGGCUAAAGUAAUAAAUUUUCCUAUAGCAUUAUGUAUCUGUUUGGACCCGAUUUUACAUCAUCGGCCCAAGCGAUCGAGGCCAUUGAGUGGACAUGAUUCUCGACCUCCAGAUGAGAAAGUGGAGAUAAUUUGAUUAUUAAAGGAUAAUAUUAUAAUUAUCUUUUAAUAUGAAUUAUCUCGGUAUUUUUUAAACUAGAUAAAUAGAAUGCGAUUCAUAUCCCGAAUAAGCGGUACAAUUCGAAUUGAUUUGGGAUGUCUGACAGCACUUGGAAGUAAAAUGAAUUUAAAAUUCGUUUGAUCAGAAUGAUGAUGGCUAUUGUGGAUGAGGUGAGGAUGAGAUAGGAGACCUAAGUGGGUGUUGUCAGAUGAAGUAAAUUGAUGAUGGACAUGGCCUGUAUGCCGUGUCAAAUGCUAUCAGCCAUAUAUAUAUAUAUAUAUAUAUAUAUAAUAUAUAUAUAUAUAUAUAUAUAUAUAUAUAUAUAAUUGGCGACAUUAGGUCUGCUAACUCAUUGGAAAGGUGCAAACUUUGUUUUAUAUAUAUAUAUAUAUAUAUAUAUUGGGUGGUUGAUUAGAUGGACGUUAUCCAAGCAUGCAGAUUAUCUUGGAUUCGAUGAAGAUGAGUUUUAAUAGUUUGGGAGUCUUUCUCAGCUUAUCAACUAGUGCGUAUUCGUCACUAUAAAUACAGAGUCGCAUGCAACGUUCAAGGGGCCCCUCGAAUUCAACACACAACUGCCCUGCGCAAAUCUCUCAACAACUUUGAGAUUUUUUAUUUUCUCUUCUCGCUGACACAUCUUCCGUUGGCAUCAACAGCACUAUGAAAGCAACCAGUGAUAUCUUAAGUCGGCAUAGAUAGCUCUGUCAUCAUAGAAUCAGCCGGUCUCGCAGUAUCUUUCGUUGGCAUCAACAGCAUUGCGGUGAGGACGGUUGGUUACCUAUCCAAGUCUCGGUCGAGAAGGAUUUCCGAAUCCUUAUUGAUUGAGGUCAUCUCAUUAGCCUUCUCGGCGAAGUGAGGUGUUACAGUUUAUUGAGCUCGGCGCAUCGCACACCGAGUUAUUUUAUGAUUGGAUAUUCCCAAGUGGGAUUUAGAGUUCGGCAUUCAGACGGCCGAACCACGUUCACUAUUAAGACUUAUAUUCGCUUUGAGUAUUUGUGCCCUUACACUUUAGUGUUGAUUCGACGAGAGUUUACUCUGACGAAUAACAUCACUGUGACCGAAUCCGACGACGGUGAUUCGUGAACUUCGUAAGAAUAGUAACCUUUUCUUCAGGUUCGAGAGCCCAAGAGGCCGAGACGUGUUCCUUUCUCGGCCGCAAUCGCAAGACGCAGAAGUCAGUCGCGCACCCAACGCAACAUCAACAAAUUUACUCCUCGGUCGAGCUCGACCGACGAGUUGACACGUCCCGCAUUCACCGAAGGACGUAGUUAGCUUAUAGAUUACUCGACCUGCGCGCCACGUAGGCUUAGUAGUUUUUAAGGUCAACAUUUUGGCACGCCCAGUAGGACCCAGUGCUAAAACUACAAAGUUCACAUGAUCUAUCUCAAUCAGGCUUCAAGGGAUAAGUGUCAUCGCCUAUUAAAGAAGCAAAAACAACUUCUCGAGAGAUUGGGAAGAAUUUCUGAAAGGCAAGAGGCCGAGGGGAAAAUUUCCACUCCAGCCACAACCAAUAUUCGGCCUAAGAAAAUUGUUGAUUUGGCUGAAGAACAAAGGCCACCUAUUUUUAGGUCGAGACUGGAAGUGUGGUAGGCCUAGAAGAAAAUGUUCAAGUUUCUGAGCCAGAAAUUAACUCAGAAAAUGAUUUGUCAGAGGAGUGCUCCAAUGACGAACAAGGCCGCAACAUUGGCUUAGCCCAAGAAACCACGACAAUUGAUAUGAUUAUUGGCGAUAAAGCCGAUAUGGAGAAAUCUCGUUCGGCUAAGAUGUUUGAAUUAAAAGCCGAAAUUAUUAUGUCCGGGGGGCAUAGUAAUUGUUCAAUACAUUUGGCAGCCGAUGAUAAAAAAUAUUUCGCCGAGUCAAAAGUAUUUGGAGAUGAUUCUUUAUUCGGCCUAGAGCAAAAUCAAUUUCAAAAUUUUGUUUUUACAAGAUCUCGGCUUGGACUAAAGCAUCGUUGGCCUCCUCCUGACUAUGGUUCGGCUACUUUUAUUUCCAUUUAGAAAAAAAAAUAAAAUAAAUGAGAAUAAAUGAUUUUCUUAACCAUUCAGCUGCUUAGCCAAUGCUUAAGAAAAUAAAGGGAGCACGGGUGCACGGGUGAUAUAAUCGGCGGAUCAGACUUAAUCUUGCCGAGGAUGAGUAUAUAUAAAAGAGCUGCUUGCCGAGAUUUGAUACUCGGUGUAGAAGAGAGACAAAGGAUGAAUCAUGGUUUGCUUCUCGAUGAUCAUGGUCUUUGAUGCACUGACUGAAAAAAAAAAAAAAAAAAUUCGGUUGUCUAGGCCGAGGCCGAGCUGUCAAGAAUGGUCUGUUUCACCUCGGCCUAAAUUUUUUCAUGGCCUUGGCAGUUGAGAGUUGCAGCAGCUUUUAGGUGGAGUCCUCCAGAAGGUGACGUGAGGGCUCAAGAAGUACAUGACAGAAGAGAACAAUGCCGAGUAAAAGAAAUUUGGCCGAGUGUUGUGUCAAAGUCAGACUACUUUUCAGGCUACUUUUAUAUAGAUAUGUACGACAUAUAGCUUUGGUGUUGAAGUCACCUUACAUCAGUACCUUUAUAUAUAUAUGACACCCUUUCUUCUCGGUACAUAUAUAUGUAUAUUAUAUGUCAACUGCAUGGCCGACAGAUCACAUCAAGCAAUCAGGUUUAUAUAUAUAGGCAGGCCGAGCUCCAUGAGUAGUUUAUCGACCUCGACCCCAGUUCUUCUCUAUCUCGGCCCCAUUCACCCUCGACCCCAGUAUUUUCGACUGAUACUAGUGUUUUCUCGACCCCGGCAGUCGAGAGUUGGAGUAGUUCACGACACUGGCAGAGGAAGAUCAUGACAUUGGCAGAACAGAGGUGAUUUUAAUGCCGAGAAAUAAAAUUUGUUUCAGCAAUACUACGAAAUGUUGUUGGCUACGAGCAAUUAAUUUCCUUAACCAUUCGACUUGCAAGCCGUAGCUCAAGGAAAUUGGGGGGCAAUGUUUGGACCCGAUUUUACAUCAUCGGCCCAAGCGAUCGAGGCCGUUGAGUGCACAUGAUUCUCAAUCGCCAGAUGAGAAAGUGGAGAUAAUUUGAUUAUUAAAGGAUAAUAUUAUAAUUAUCUUUUAAUAUGAAUUAUCUCGGUAUUUUUUAAACCAGAUAAAUAGAAUGCGAUUCAUAUCCCGAAUAAGCGGUACAAUUCGAAUUGAUUUGGGAUGUCUGACAGCACUUGGAAGUAAAAUGAAUUUAUAAUUCGUUUGAUCAGAAUGAUGAUGGCUAUUGUGGAUGAGGUGAGGAUGAGAUAGGAGACCUAAGGGGGUGUUGUCAGAUGAAAUAAAUUGAUGAUGGACAUGGCCUGUAUGCCGUGUCAAAUGCUAUC